GCAAGCUCGAGAUCGCCAUGGGAGAAGCUCGCAAGAUCGGCGUCGCCCUCGACUUCUCCAAGAGCAGCAAGCACGCGCUAGCCUGGGCCGUCGAGAACCUCCUCGACAAGGGCGACACCCUCAUCGUCCUCCACGUCCGCCACCACAAAGGCGAGGAAUCGAAGAACAAUCUCUGGUCUAAAUCCGGAUCUCCGCUGGUGCCGUUGAAGGAGUUCCGGGAGCCGGAGGUGAUGAAGCACUAUGACGUGGAGUGUGAUAUGGAGGUGCUGGAUCUGCUGGACACUGUGUCGAGGCAGAAGGAGGUGACGAUCGUGAUGAAGAUUUACUGGGGGGAUGCGAGGGAGAAGCUGUGCCAGGCGGUGGAGGAUAUGAAGCUGGAUUCGCUGGUCAUGGGGAGCAGAGGGCUCGGCCAGCUCAAGAGGAUCUUACUGGGAAGUGUUACAAACUAUGUCCUAUCAACUGCAUCUUGCCCUGUGACUGUUGUAAAGGAGCCCAACUUCAAGGUUUGAUGGCUGCUCUGACCUGGCUGGGUUUUCGGGUGAGCUGGGAGGGAUGCCAAACUGUUAGAUUAUUAUUACAGAUUGUGUUGUAUCAUUUCAAGCUCAUACCUGUAUCUAGUAUGACAAUAAAUCUCCCCGG
rnacentral:misc_RNA from 1 species